CACGCGUAGCUGCGUACGCUUAGCGUUCGUGACAUCUUAUCAUUGGAGCUGAAUUUUUAGUUGCUCAGCGAAAACCGCCAAGAAGCCUACAAGUAUGCUAACAUUUUCAUGAACUCUAGCUGGACAGCUGCCACGAGAGAUCGGUGUUAAACUGUUAAUGUAGUAUUUGAGGAGAAGAAAACGAUUGACAGCAUCCUCCUUCCUGCUUGCUAAAGAACGCUAAAGAAGUUUCACCGUUCCUUCAUUCUUCAGAGAUGGAAGAGUUCGAUCAGACCAUGUGUGUACAAAAGCAUUUUAAACUGCGUGCAGUGCAUAUACGUCGGAAGUUCGGAAGUCAGGAACUCACGUGCACAUGGUCGUGUUACCGCCUGUUAGUUCCACUGCUCCCGCGUGAAGUGAGCCCUUACCACACUCUCUAGUCUAGCCUGAUCUAAAAUGACUCUAAGUGAGUCAUCAGGAAGCGUAUGGAAUUCCAGCAUUUAGCCAAAGUCAUUAAUAAUGCCGAGUAAUUGCGCAAUCGCAUUUUCCUUCUGACAGCUAUUGUGGUCAGAAAAUGUACUGAAGUAUACUAAUGCUGAGGAACUGCGCAGUUGCCUUGACCUUCCCAGCUAUUGUGGUCAGAAUAUAUGCAUUAGAAAAACCUAUUCUUUCAUCUAUUUUCGUUCAUCAACCCAAGAAAAAAUGAGCGGUGAAUUAAGAAGGAGGUUACUGAGAUUUAAGUGAUUGAUUUAUGGCGCAAUCCUCCUCUGGGAUUUUGGGUUCUCUAGCAACUUGUUUAUCAAAAAAAAGAAAAGAAAAGAAAAGAAUUAUUGACGUUCUUCUCAAAUCUUUGGAGAAAAACAACUGAAAAUUUCUUAGAAGUAAACGCAAAGUUGUUGUUACUUUAUCAAUUCACGACUUUUGCCCUUUCAUUUUAUUAAGAAUGGGUGAAGAUGUAGCGCGCACUUGGAUUUUUUUAUUCUCUAGCUUUCAAACAUCACGUGAUUAUCACGCAACUAUUUCAUUUUGUACACCCAGUUUACACCUGUCAAAUUAUUUCUCAGCGUGGCUUGAUGACCCGAACAUAACCUUUCUUUUUUCGUGUGCCUAUUUUAUUGUUUGUUUUUUCAAAUUUACACCUAAAGUAGGAGAGUGUCUUCAAGAGAAACUAGCAUUAUACGCUCCUGAUCACUUGAAUGAACGAAUAACUUUAUU